rnacentral:rRNA from 1 species
GAUGAACGCUGGCGGCGUGCUUAACACAUGCAAGUCAAACGGGAAUUACUUUAUUGAAACUUCGGUCGAUUUAAUUUAAUUCUAGUGGCGGACGGGUGAGUAACGCGUGGGUAACCUGCCUUAUACAGGGGGAUAACAGUCAGAAAUGGCUGCUAAUACCGCAUAAGCGCACAGAGCUGCAUGGCUCAGUGUGAAAAACACCGGUGGUAUAAGAUGGACCCGCGUUGGAUUAGCUUGUUGGUGGGGUAACGGCCCACCAAGGCGACGAUCCAUAGCCGGCCUGAGAGGGUGAACGGCCGCAUUGGGGCUGAGGCACGGCCCAGACUCCUACGGGAGGCAGCAGUGGGGAAUAUUGCACAAUGGGGGAAACCCUGAUGCAGCGACGCCGCGUGAAGGAAGAAGUAUCUCGGUAUGUAAACUUCUAUCAGCAGGGAAGAUAGUGACGGUACCUGACUAAGAAGCCCCGGCUAACUACGUGCCAGCCGCCGCGGUAA